UCGAGGAUCUUCCACAAUGGGCGAAAGCCUGAUGGAGCGACGCCGCGUGUGCGAUGAAGGCCUUCGGGUUGUAAAGCACUGUCGAGGGGGAGAAAAGGAAACUUGAUCUACCCCUGGAGGAAGGACGGGCUAAGUUCGUGCCAGCAGCCGCGGUAAGACGAACCGUCCUAACGUUGUUCGGAAUCACUGGGCUUAAAGGGCGCGUAGGCGGUCGGCAAAGUCAGGGGUGAAAUCUUUCGGCUUAACCGGAAAAGUGCCUUUGAAACUAGUCGACUCGAGCGAGAUAGGGGCAUGUGGAACUUCCGGUGGAGCGGUGAAAUGCGUUGAUAUCGGAAGGAACGCCGGUGGCGAAAGCGACAUGCUGGAUCUCUUCUGACGCUGAGGCGCGAAAGCUAGGGGAGCAAACGGGAUUAGAUACCCCCGUAGUCC
rnacentral:rRNA from 1 species